CUGGCGAGCGGCUAUUCUCGGCGCUCGCAGGCUAUUUAUAGCUGGAGUGGAGCUGUUUCCAGCGGCGGAAUCUAGGAGACAUUUGGAGCUGAUCUGGUGUCGCGAGGACAGCUAUCGGCGAACCAGGCUCCGACAGAGGGUCCGUCGCUGCCCGA